AGUGAACGCUGGCGGUAGGCCUAACACAUGCAAGUCGAACGGCAGCACAGUAAGAGCUUGCUCUUACGGGUGGCGAGUGGCGGACGGGUGAGGAAUACAUCGGAAUCUACUUUUUCGUGGGGGAUAACGUAGGGAAACUGACGCUAAUACCGCAUACGACCUACGGGUGAAAUCAGAGGAUCUUCGGACCUUGCGCGAUUGAAUGAGCCGAUGUCGGAUUAGCUAGUUGGCGGGGUAAAGGCCCACCAAGGCGACGAUCCGUAGCUGGUCUGAGAGGAUGAUCAGCCACACUGGAACUGAGACACGGUCCAGACUCCUACGGGAGGCAGCAGUGGGGAAUAUUGGACAAUGGGCGAAAGCCUGAUCCAGCAAUACCGCGUGGGUGAAGAAGGCCUUCGGGUUGUAAAGCCCUUUUGUUGGGAAAGAAAAGCAGCAGGUUAAUACCCCGCUGUUCUGACGGUACCCAAAGAAUAAGCAACGGCUAACUUCGUG
rnacentral:rRNA from 1 species